AGGCAGCAUUGGGGGAAUAUUGCACAAGUGGGCGCAAGCCUGAUGCAGCCAUGCCGCGUGUAUGAAGAAGGCCUUCGGGUUGUAAAGUACUUUCAGCAGUGAGGAAGGUGGGUAUGUUAAUAGCAUAUUCAUUUGACGUUAGCUGCAGAAGAAGCACCGGCUAACUCCGUGCCAGCAGCCGCGGUAAUACGGAGGGUGCGAGCGUUAAUCGGAAUUACUGGGCGUAAAGCGCAUGCAGGUGGUUUGUUAAGUCAGAUGUGAAAGCCCGGGGCUCAACCUCGGAAUUGCAUUUGAAACUGGCAAACUAGAGUACUGUAGAGGGGGUAGAAUUUCAGGUGUAGCGGUGAAAAUGCGUAGAGAUCUGAAGGAAUACCGGUGGCGAAGGCGGCCCCCUGGACAGAUACUGACACUCAGAUGCGAAAGCGUGGGGAGCAAACAGGAUUAGAUACCCUGGUAG
rnacentral:rRNA from 1 species